rnacentral:rRNA from 1 species
ACUAACGCUGGCGGCGUGCCUAACACAUGCAAGUCGUGCGGGUAUAAGUGGCAACACUUAUGCUAGCGGCAGACGGGUGAGUAACGCGUAAAUAAUCUACCCUAUUACUGGGGAUAAGCUUUCGAAAGGAAGUGUAAUACCGAAUAAGUCUUAAUGAUGCAGAUUGUUAAGAUAAAAGCCGUAAGGCGUGAUGGGAUGAGCCUGCGUCCUAUUAGCUAGUUGGUAGGGUAAUGGCCUACCAAGGCGAUGAUGGGUAGCCGGCCUGAGAGGGUGAACGGCCACACUGGAACUGAGACACGGUCCAGACUCCUACGGGAGGCAGCAGUGAGGAAUUUUGCGCAAUGGGCGAAAGCCUGACGCAGCGACGCCGCGUGGAGGAAGACGGCCUUCGGGUUGUAAACUCCUGUCAGAGGUGAAGAACGCCCGCAAGGGCUUGACGGUAACCUCAGAGGAAGCCCCGGCUAACUACGU